CGAAUUAUUAUCAUCAUUCCUUAGGAGUGGUGGGUUCGCUUGUGUUUCAAUCAUGUCAAACCCGCCCUGGAGGCGGUUUUU
rnacentral:sRNA from 1 species